UGCAGAAUCCCGUGAACCAUCGAGUCUUUGAACGCAAGUUGCGCCCGAUGCCAUUAGGUUGAGGGCACGUCUGCCUGGGCGUCACAUAUCGAAGCCUCUCGCCAAUUUCCUAUAUUGAUAGGGGUAUUGUGCAGGGCGAAUGUUGGCCUCCCGUGAGCUUUAUUGCCUCAUGGUUGGUUGAAAAUCGAGACCUUGGUAGGGUGUGCCAUGAUAGGUGGUGGMUGUGUUACGCACGAGACCAAGUAAGUCAUGUGCUGCUCUAUUGAAUUUAGGCCUCUUUUACCCACAUGCGUUUCGAAACGCUCGUGAUGAGACCUCAGGUCAGGCGGGGCUACCCGCUGAAUUUAAGCAUAUCAAUAAGCGGAGGAAAAGAAACUAACAAGGAUUCCCUUAGUAACGGCGAGCGAACCGGGAUAAGCCCACCAUGAGAAUCGGUCGCCCUCGGCGUUCGAAU
rnacentral:rRNA from 1 species